GGACUACAGGGGUAUCUAAUCCCGUUUGCUCCCCUGGCUUUCGCGCCUCAGCGUCAGAAGAGGUCCAGCGCGCCGCUUUCGCCACCGGUGUUCCUUCCGAUAUCUACGCAUUUCACCGCUCCACCGGAAGUUCCGCACGCCCCUACCUCCCUCGAGACUCGCAGUAUCAAAGGCACUUCUCCAGUUGAGCUGGAGGCUUUCACCCCUGACUGGCGAGCCCGCCUACGCGCCCUUUAAGCCCAGUGAUUCCGAACAACGUUCGCACGGUUCGUCUUACCGCGGCGGCUGGCAC
rnacentral:rRNA from 3 species